UACGGAGGGUGCGAGCGUUGUUCGGAAUCACUGGGCGUAAAGGGCGUGUAGGCGGUCCGCUAAGUCUGAUGUGAAAGCCCGGGGCUCACCCCCGGAAGUGCAUUGGAAACUGGCGGACUCGAGUCCCGGAGAGGAGAGCGGAAUUCCUGGUGUAGCGGUGAAAUGCGUAGAUAUCAGGAGGAACACCGGUGGCGAAGGCGGCUCUCUGGACGGUGACUGACGCUGAGACGCGAAAGCGUGGGGAGCAAACAGG
rnacentral:rRNA from 1 species